rnacentral:rRNA from 1 species
GGCGGGCGGACGGGUGAGUAACGCGUGGGUAACCUGCCUCAUACAGGGGGAUAACAGUUGGAAACGGCUGCUAAUACCGCAUAAGCGCACAGUACCGCAUGGUACGGUGUGAAAAACUCCGGUGGUAUGAGAUGGACCCGCGUCUGAUUAGGUAGUUGGUGGGGUAACGGCCUACCAAGCCGACGAUCAGUAGCCGACCUGAGAGGGUGACCGGCCACAUUGGGACUGAGACACGGCCCAA